rnacentral:rRNA from 1 species
GACGAACGCUGGCGGCGUGCUUAACACAUGCAAGUUGAGCGAUGAAGCUCCUUCGGGAGUGGAUUAGCGGCGGACGGGUGAGUAACACGUGGGCAACCUGCCUUAUAGAGAGGAAUAGCCAUCCGAAAGGAUGAUUAAUACCUCAUAAUAUUGUAGCUUCGCAUGAAGCAACAAUCAAAGGAGCAAUCCACUAUAAGAUGGGCCCGCGGCGCAUUAGCUAGUUGGUGAGGUAACGGCUCACCAAGGCGACGAUGCGUAGCCGACCUGAGAGGGUGAUCGGCCACAUUGGGACUGAGACACGGCCCAGACUCCUACGGGAGGCAGCAGUGGGGAAUAUUGCACAAUGGGGGAAACCCUGAUGCAGCAACGCCGCGUGAGUGAUGACGGCCUUCGGGUUGUAAAGCUCUGUCUUCAGGGACGAUAAUGACGGUACCUGAGGAGGAAGCCACGGCUAACUACGUGCCAGCCGCCGCCGUAAAAC